UUGGAGCCAUCACGUCUAUUAACAAAAUACCACCUUGACUGUACAUUAGGUCUACAAAGCCUCUAGACAAUACACAGAGUUUAACUAAGGUCGGGACACACCCCGCCAUAUAACUAACUUUUAUACAAUACCAAAAGUGACUGGAUAUGACACGGAAAGCCCAGAAGCAAACUGGAGCUCACCAAAAGCAGCUGGAUAUCCUG
rnacentral:lncRNA from 1 species